AUUGAACGCUGGCGGCAGGCCUAACACAUGCAAGUCGAACGAGUGGCGGACGGGUGAGUAAUGUCUGGGAAACUGCCCGAUGGAUGGGGAUAACUACUGGGAACGAUAGCUACUACCGCAUACCAUCGGAUGUGCCCAGGUGGGAUUAGCUAGUCGGUGGGGUAACGGAUCACCUAGGCGACGAUCCCUAGCUGGGCUGAGAGGAUGAUCAGCCACACUGGAACUGAGACACGGUCCAGACUCCUACGGGAGGCAGCAGUGGGGAAUAUUGCACAAUGGGCGCAAGCCUGAUGCAGCCAUGCCGCGUGUAUGAAGAAGGCCUUCGGGUUGUAAAGUACUUUCAGUGAGGAGGCGUUACUCGCAGAAGAAGCACCGGCUAACUCCGUGCCAGCAGCCGCGGUAAUAC
rnacentral:rRNA from 1 species